GGUCUGGUGGCGGAAUCGGUAGACGCCCGGGAUUUAAAAUCCCGUGUCUGAAUAAGGCGUGCGAGUUCAAGUCUCGCCCAGACCA
rnacentral:tRNA from 1 species